rnacentral:rRNA from 1 species
AUGAACAAAAAAUUGAUAAGGGGGUUCACAGAGAAGGAAAUAAGCGAUGCCCUUUUCCAGAUCGGCCCGCUAAAGGCUCCAGGCCCGGACGGAUUCCCGGCCCGGUUUUUCCAGCGAAACUGGGAGAUAAUGAAGAAUGAGGUGGUGGCAGCUGUGCAGAAUUUCUUUGAAAACGGGAUCAUGCCAGAAGGAAUAAACGAUACGUCGAUCGUACUCAUCCCCAAAGGAAAGAACCCCCAAAGCUUGAAAGACUUCCGGCCAAUAAGCCUCUGCAAUGUUAUAUAUAAGGUGAUCUCUAAAUGCUUGGUGAACCGGCUGAGACCAAUGUUGGAUGGACUAAUCUCAGAAACCCAGAGCGCGUUUGUUCCGGGAAGAUUAAUCAUAGACAAUGCCAUCAUAGCGUUCGAGUGUUUCCAUAAGAUCCAACAAAGCAAAAACCCGCACAAUACACACUGUGCGUAUAAGCUGGACCUCGCCAAAGCCUAUGACAGAGUGGAUUGGGACUUCCUAGAAGGAGCCUUGGAAAAGUUGGGUUUCCAUGCUCGUUGGAUAAACCGGAUUAUGAGAUGCGUUAAAUCUGUCCGGUACUCAGCGAAACUGAAUGGAGAAGUCUUGGAACAUUUUCUUCCUUCGAGAGGGCUCAGACAAGGUGAUCCCCUCAGCCCGUAUCUGUUUAUUUUUGUCGUUGAUGGGCUCGCCACAAUCUUCAACAGGGAGGUCCAAGGUGGAAGCAUUUCACCUGUCAAAGUGGCCCGCAACAGCCUGGAAUAUCAAAUCUGUUAUUUGCCGACGAUAGCUUGGUAUUUUUUAAGGCCUCUUGUGACCAAGCCAGGGUGGUUAAGAGGGCGCUUAACAUGUUCCAAAGAUGCACAGGCCAACUAUUGA